AACUUCAUAGUCAGGAAAGGUGUUCACUGAGAAGUGAACAAAAUAGGGAAACCGGUAAAAGUCCGGUGCGGUCCCGCCACUGUAAGGGUGAGUCCGGUUCGACACCACUGAACAUAUAUGUUUGGGAAGGUGAACCAUGGACAAUGAUCCUAAGCCAGGAGACCUGCCUUUCCUGUUGUUCGACC
rnacentral:ncRNA from 1 species